UACGUAGGGUGCAAGCGUUGUCCGGAAUUAUUGGGCGUAAAGAGCUCGUAGGCGGUUUGUCACGUCGGCUGUGAAAACCCGAGGCUCAACCUCGGGCCUGCAGUCGAUACGGGCAAGCUAGAAUUCGGUAGGGGAGACUGGAAUUCCUGGUGUAGCGGUGAAAUGCGCAGAUAUCAGGAGGAACACCGGUGGCGAAGGCGGGUCUCUGGGCCGAAAUUGACGCUGAGGAGCGAAAGCGUGGGGAGCAAACAGG
rnacentral:rRNA from 1 species